CAGUUUUAUUAAACUAAGAAUCUCAUAUCACAGCGCAUUCACAGUGCAUGAGGUCACAGUUAUUGAAAAAAUAAAUAGCGGGAUAAAUAUAUUUAUUAUUUACAACUUUUCAACUCUUUGCUCCCACUUUGCCUGUUAGGGAGAAUGAACAAAGAUGGCGGCAUUCAGCCCAGCGUGCAAGAAACGCCUUGUGGGGAACUCAAGGGAUGGGUAACAGCCCCUGAAGUUCUUGGUCUUGGUUGUUUUUAAGGGGGUUCUUUCUGGACACAAGAGGCCUCUGAUUCUAUCUACUUGCUACUUCGUAGGUCAUGGCUGGGCCCCAAGAGGACCCCAUGAGGACCGCACGGCCCUGCAGCAACUGCGCCCAGUCUGCCACUUGGGCAUCCAGGAUGUGACUUCCCUCUCCUCGCUUGGCCCUUUCCUUGGCAGCUCCUGCCUCUGCCCACGGGCUGGGCCCCAUCUGGCUGGCAGCCCUCUUUCCUCUCUAGGUAAUCAAUGCUCUCUUUGUGUUCAGACACCCAACAGCUACUCCCGUCUGGUGGCUGCUGGACAGGAGACACAGGCAGGGGCACCCUGCCAGGAAGAGUGUGCUCUGAAUGACACAGAGCCUCCCAGAUUAGAAGCCCCCUGAGGAGGGUCCCCAAGAGCGAGCCACAGAGGCUGAGCCACAGCUCUGUCCACUGGGUCCCCAAAUAUCUUUGGUCCAAGCCGCGUGGAGGAAGCUCCGGGAAGUGUUCCACAGCUCAGAGGGGCACCUCUGUGGGUGGGAGCAGGGACGCCCAGUGACUAGAAAAAAAGCCACUAUGACAUUUGAUUUGGAAAAACAGAACUGCCUUGCUCACACCCCAGGCAUUUUCAGGAGGAGGAGAGGCCUCGCUCCUUCCAUUGAAAGGGGACCGUGCGUCUGUGUGGACGCUCGGGAAUUCCUGCACUGGGAAUUCUGGACGGGGAGCCGGAAGGGCUCUGUUAUCUGGGACCCUUCCUUUAUGUACAAAGGCUGAUCGUAUCAAACCACGAAGCCAGGAGCCAAAAGCUGCACGUUCCCUCUUGAGAGCUUUAAAAAAACUGUUUUCCAGUGGUGGAGUGGGGAGGGUACAUACUUUCUCCAGGAGUAAGGGUUUUAUUGGCUGUGACCAUGGAAAAGUCCCAACCAACAUGUUGCAUAAAAGGCAAUUGUUUGAAUUCUGGCAACAGUGGGAAUAGGUGUGGAUUAUGCCCCGUGUGUCAUCAGCUUUUAACCAUGGAGCAGCCCAUCGCAGACCCAUAAACCUAACAGAUAGAAAAGCCACACAGCCAGGGGCUUGACGUUCAUAUAGGUACAGGGCAUUUCUGACUCUCAGAGCCACUUGCCAUCAGCUGCAGCUCUGUACCGGGGUGUUCAGGUGGCGAGCCUUUUCCUAAACUAGAAGAGAGGAUGCUGUCAGCCUCUGCUACAAGGCGCGCGGCCGAUACACGACCUCGCCCACUGGAUGCUGACACUGUAAGCGGCGAUGAAAACCCUUAGAAACAUUCAGAAGCAAAUACAACGACCUGAAUGCCUUUGAAAACUCUGCAGCCCCACAGACUGUGCCCUUUGGGGAACGUUCUUUGCAGCACAGCAAAGGGGCCCUGCACAAGCCACACUGGUAAGAGGCCAGGCUCGAAGUGAGCAAAAAAAUCUGUGUGCCAGCCAUGUCCUCUGCCUUGUGGGAUGGACCCAUGGAAAGAUCCUCGUGUUCCACCACCCACAUGACUGACACAGUGGAGAAGAUUUACCCAGGGCUGGAGGGGCCCCUUGUCCACGCUUUG
rnacentral:lncRNA from 1 species